CAGAAUUAAGAUUCAGUCCGUCUGUUUUCUCAGAAGCAGCUUUCAUUCUGUGCAUUUCAUCCAGAACAUUUUAAUCUUCUGAAGUGAAGAUGAAGAUAGCAGCCUUCAAUGUCAAAAACCUGGGAAUAAAAAAGGUCAAAGACAAGAAGGUGGUCCACUACCUCACCGAGAUCGUGUCUCGGUACAGCGUGGUGGUGAUACUGGAGGUGAUGGAUAAAAGUGGCAUGGCCAUGGAGGAAUUAAUUAACGAGCUCAACAA